GUGGAGAUGCCUUGGCCUUUCUUCCUUCUGAGGAUGACCUGGGGUCCCCUGAGAACAUGGUUUGGUCCUUUUGCUUCAGCAUUUGUCAUUCUGGUUUAGGUAAAAGAGAUUAAUCUGAAGGUUCCAACCCUGCAAGUUUUAAAAUAUCAGGAGAGUUGGCCGGAAGGAUUCUGGGAAUUGGAGUUCAUGGCAGGUUUUUUCAACCAGACCAGCACUAAUAUCCUAAGGAAGAGGAGGUGACCAUUGAGAGGGACUUUCAGUGGUCUCUGACUGCCAGUGGUAGCUGAGAAGAGCACUCAUCUGGAAAUCAAUCAGACUUGGUGGGACCAGUAAUAGGAACUGAGUGAAGUUAGAGCCCAUUCUGCCUGAGAACAAGAUAUUAAUCUAUGAAAAGGAAACAAGUUUCACACAUGCGGUAGAAGAGGGGAAAGAGAACAAGAAGAGAAAGAAGAAAAAUGGAGAUUAGAGAGGGAAGAGCAUUCUCGGUUUGUUAUCUACUCUUACUCACUACCUCCUUAGGAACUCGGAAUGGAAUGAAAGUCAUUAAAAAAAAACAACUAGAAAACUUCUUAAUCUCACUCCUUUCCCCCUAGCCCCUUCCUGUCCAGAUUCAACAAAUGUAAUAUUCUACCCAAUCAUAAAAAUAUUUCGCUUUCUGAUUUGUACGGUAUUAUAACAAUAGUUAGUAUCUAAAGCAAGGAAUAUCCUUACUAACCAUCUCAUACAACACUCUCAUUUCACAGAUUUACCUAGAUAGGUAAAAUCCUUUGCUCAAUUUUACAGAGGUAGUUAGCAACAAAAUUGAAAUUUAAAUCCAGGAUUUUUUAGGUAUACCAUGCUGCCUCUUCCUUCGAUUUACUGAUACAGAAAUGAGAAGUAAAUGGAUGAGGGCUGCAUCUAGAUUCAAAGGUCCUGAGUUCAAAGCUCACCUCUGACAUUUUAUUACCUGUGUACCCUUGAAAAAGUCACUUAACCACCCUGGGCCUCAGCCUCUCCAUUUGUAAAAUGAGGUUGUUGAGACACUAAUGCACUGUUGGUGGAGUUAUGAAUUAAUUCAAGCAUUCUGGAGAGCAAUGCCCAAAGACCUAUAAAACCGCAUAUCCUUUAACUCAACAAUACCACUACUAGAUUGGUAUCCCAAAGACAGCAAAGA